rnacentral:rRNA from 1 species
GACGAACGCUGGCGGCGUGCUUAACACAUGCAAGUCGAACGGUGAAGCGCCUUCCUUUUUGGUGGGUGUGGAUGAGUGGCGAACGGGUGAGUAACACGUGAGUAACCUGCCCCCUUCUUCUGGAUAACCGCAUGAAAGUGUGGCUAAUACGGGAUAUUCUGGGUCUGUCGCAUGAUGGGUCUGGGAAAGAUAUUGUUUCGGUGGGGGAUGGGCUCGCGGCCUAUCAGCUUGUUGGUGGGGUGAUGGCCUACCAAGGCGGUGACGGGUAGCCGGCCUGAGAGGGUGGACGGUCACACUGGGACUGAGACACGGCCCAGACUCCUACGGGAGGCAGCAGUGGGGAAUAUUGCACAAUGGGCGCAAGCCUGAUGCAGCGACGCCGCGUGAGGGAUGGAGGCCUUCGGGUUGUGAACCUCUUUCGCCAGUGAAGCAGGCCUGCCUCGUUUGUGGGUGGGUUGACGGUAGCUGGAAAAGAAGCGCCGGCUAACUACGUG